rnacentral:rRNA from 1 species
AUGCCGUGCGCCCCGCCCAUUCGACGCAUGUCGCUCGUAUCAGCUCAACUCAGCGGGUGCGGCACGACCACCCACCAAACCAAGGGCGCGCAUGGCAACCCGAGGGGGCGACCGAUGGAUUCGCUCGAUCGGCCGGCCGAUCGCCAAUCUUUACCUUCUUUUUCCGCGAGUUCACCCGCCGCUCUUUCCCGCGUGCAUGUAUGUGUUUUGACUUCUGACUUUUUGAUGGUAGCGCUUGUCUGCCUGAAGAUUCCUGUGGUUGGGUCGUGCAUGUGGCAGGCGCGCACCAUGAGCGCCACGUGCUGCCUUUUUCUAAGAAGAUCUUAUCCACGAGUUCCGACGCGUGAUGGGCCGUCUGAGAUGCACAACUGA